ensembl:lncRNA
UUUUUUUUUUUUUUUUUUUUGAUGCGUAGAAACAAGGAUGUGGAUUUAAGCAAGCCAGAAACUGGUCAUACACUGAUAAAGGUAACUGCCUUUGUUUAUUUGCCCCAGUGAGCGUUGGUGAGAAUUCAAGGAAUUACAGUAGGAUCUCUUAAAAGAAUACAGAAAUGGAAUUCAAGGAAUUAUACGUGUAUAUGACUUAGCUAAGGCAUGUUCAGUAUAGGUCCCAACAGACCUAGAAUAUCAUAAUGGUAGAUAAAGGGAGAAGGUACCUGGGAGAAGAACAUGACGAUAAGACAGAGACAGUUACAGAGAAGUUGCACAGAUGGAAAGAUGAACAGAGGCAGUUUGCCUGGUAAAAAAUGAAAAAGAGUGAAACUAUCGGUCGGGAGAGAAAGAUCUUGCUGGAGUGACACGCAUUCAGGUCCUAUCAUAAGCACACCAUGAGCAGAUUCAAUUAAAAAAUAGCUACUUUCUCUCUGUGUUUAAGAUCUAAUGGAAAAUAGGAAUCAUUCCUCAUAAUGUUUAAAGACCAAAGAGAAAUCCUGUAUUUUUUUGUUGCUUUUGUUAAAUUCUGUGAUUUUUUUUUUCAUCAGGAAUCUAACACUGAGAUAAACAGAGUAGUAACAGAUUUAUCACACGGAAUGCUUUGGAACUGCACAGGGUUGGGACAGGGCGCAUAAAGCUAAAGGCUGCGAGUCUGCUUGUAGCUUGGGACUGAACUGGAAUAUUCUGGAAAGAAACAAAUAAACAAAGGAAAGCAAAAGACGUGGAAAUAGAAAAAUAAAAAAGGAAGCAGGCAGGGGAGAGGGAAUUCAUGCAAUUUACACAAAUAUUUUGGUCAGUGUUCUAUGAAACUGCAAUGGAGUAUGAAGGCACUGUAUCAGUACAGAUUCGUGAUCGACAGAUGUAACUUCUCUUUGGUUUUUGAAUGCUUUGCCUACGUCGCUCUUACCUCUCGCUUUUUGUCUUUUAAAGGGAGCUGUCAAUAUAUAUAAGAAAGGGCACUCUGCUGAGCAGUUUUACAAGCAAAAGUCCCUCACUGUCUCCAGUGGGAAAUAUCAGCUGAGCGACAUUCGCAGGAGCGGGGUAUCUCUUUCUAGCUGCGGGCCGCAGCUGCCGGGCGAACAGAUGCCCGAGGCUGCCACCGCAUGGCCGCAGCGGUGAGCUGAGGGAAGAGCGGCUCUACCCGCGUUUCUCUGGCGCUCCGACGUUCCCAGAGAUCUUCCAGAAAGUAACGUCUUUUCAACCCCAACUUUGAGAGAAAUACCUGAGCUAUUGCGCUGGAUUUAUUUGAUAUAAGUUCAUCCAUCUUUCACGAAGCUGCUUGAUGUCAUUUUUGUUGCUUCUUUUUUUUUUGGCGGGAAGGUUCUGGUAUGUCAGGCUGGUAAAAAUAAGCGACGCUAGAAACUACUUACAAAAAUGAUUUUGCAGAGCCAUUUGGUUGGCACUGCCCUGACGUUGUGAUUUGCAUCCAUUGAUCUAAGCCCCAGGUACCAGAAAAUAAAGGGCAAUCCUCAUAUUAUCAUGACUUUUUCCCUUGUAAACGCUGAGUUGUGCGAGCAAAAGUAGACCUCCUCAAAAUACGUGCAGUUUUAAUGUAUAUUUCCUU